rnacentral:tRNA from 1 species
UGGGGGAUCGUCUAAUGGCAGGACAUCAGACUCUGACUCUGAGUAUUGGGGUUCGAAUCCCUAUUCCCCAG